rnacentral:rRNA from 1 species
GUCUACGGCCAUGCCACCCUGAACAAGUCCAAUCCUGUCUGAUCUCGAAAGCUAAGCAGGGUCGGGCCUGGUUAGUACUUGGAUGGGAGACUCUACCUAGGAAGACCAGGUGCUGGAGGCA